AGAGCUCGAAGGAUCCUGAAGGACAGCCAGGACGUCAGGAUUGUAGUCACCGUCGUCGUCACAACCAGCACCGCCCACACGUCCGCAUUGUACAGCUGGUACCUGGAUGUAAACACAACACUUCUGCUAGGAAUGAGGAUAACAGUCACGGCCUCCUGAAGGAGGAUGACACAAGACUUGAGACGAACCAAGGCAUGUGACCAGCUGGAGAACGAAGGUGGCUUGCUCCUUGGUGUUUGAGGACAUAUUCCACCCAGUACGAGGCCCAGUCUUUUGGUGACAUUGGCUGGUCUCGCAUCAACCUGGACCGCUGCUGUACCUCCUCCAGUAUUCUGUGUGGCCCCAACACGACAGGAAUAUAAGUACAGUUUAACUACAUUACUCUGCUCAAAACUUAGGAAAUUUGAUAGGAAUUUUGUAUCAACUUUGACAACUCAAGAAAAAUAUGCCGAAUAAUUUCGAACCUUUUGUCACUAAUGAGCUGCAAGAUGUGAUCGCGCAAGUUGUCAUGGGUGAGGUCCUCCCAAUACAAGACGUGUCCCCA